AUCGGUCUGCCUAUAUUGAAAAAGAGCGAACAACACCUAAUUGAAUUCUGUUUAAGCUCAAUAGAAAAUAAGUAGUUAAUGCGACCAAGAAAGUAGUGCAGCAGAACUAUAUGUAUACUUUCAAACGUGGAUGACUUGAAGAAAAAGCUGAUGUUCAAAAAAACUUGAAAUGAUGAUAUUCAAUGUUAGCUUACAUCAAUGGAACAUAAUCUUAAACGUGUACGGAAAAAAAACAUCAGUAUUAUUACGCAUUAGGCCAAAGAAAAGUUUGUGUCCAUGUACCUAUGUACAAUAAAUUGAAUAUAAAUAAGGUGUAAUUUUGUAGCAGAGAUGCUGAAAAGUUCACAUAUAUAAGUCAACCGAAGGGAAAUGAAAGUAUUUAUUGUAUAUAUUUAGCAAUUUAUUGAAUAGCAUUUUAUGCCACCGCUGAUUUUUUUACGUCGAUAACUCAAGAGGAAACUAUGUGGCCUUAAAAAGGCGUUCAGUACUGUACUAUUUUCGCAGAAAAUGGUUCGCAAACUACCAUAGCUUAGAAUCAAAGCGUUUGAAACAAAAAUAUUAUUAUAUAAAUAAUAAAAAACAAGAUUACAAUACAAGUCUUUCAAAAGUAUUCUGGAAUUAACGGAUGCAAUUUGGUAAAACUUGGUGUUGACUAAUAAGUAGGGCACACCCGCCAUUGUUCGGACCAUCGACAGAAUAACGUUCGUGUUUUUGAGAUUUCUCCAUCCAAGACAUAGAUUUGCUGAUGAAUAACAUCGCAAAGAUCUUGGUGUAUUGUCUUCAUACUUGGCCACAACAACCCUUCAAAUAGACCAGACUAAACUAAAUUAGCUUGACCACCAUAUUAACAUUCAAGAAGUUCGGCCUACAUGUCAGAUUUAUGAAUGUGAACAGCAGGAUAUCGAUUUUAAGGAUGCUUUACUUUAGGGUCAAUGACAAUGAAAUCACGAGAGAUAAAGGCUAAAAUGUGAGACUGUAAAUCUGACUAACCUUGAAGUGAACAAAUGGAAAAAAUGUUUCUUUCAAUAGCAUGGGCUUUUAAGGAAGAGGAAACAGAGGCGCUUAUAUGAUAGAACAGUAAAAGCAGGAGUGAUAAUGAAAGAUACAUGUAGAUGUGUCUUCAUGUCGGAAACACUAAAAAAUAGAAAUAUUGUGGUUUUAUAAAACUUAAAAGAAAUUGGAAUACCAGGAGACUGCCUGCCCUUUGCAAUGUUGGAUAAAGAGUUCUUAGAUGUGAUGUCGAAAGCCUCAUGAAGCCCAUGACUUAAUCUAAUUAGAAAAAGAAAUGACAUUGAAGAGAAAACUAGUCACCAGUCUUUCACCAAGAACUAGAGAUAACUUUCCAAUAUUUGAAAUAUCAUAAUAUGAGCCGCGUCAUGACAAAACCAACAUAGUAGGUUUGCGACCAGCAUGGAUCCGAACCCGCCUGUGCCUCCGCGUAGUCUGAUCAGGAUCCAUGCUGUUCGCCAUCAGUUUUUCUACUUGUAAUAGAGUUUGUAAGCAAACAGCAUGGAUCCUGAUCAGACUGCGUGGAUGCGCAGGCUGGUCUAGAUCAAUGCUGGUCGCAAACCCAUUAUGUUGGUUUUGUCAUGGCGCGGCUCAUAUGUAUAGAACUUUAUUGAGCCACCAGUUUUCACCAGGAAAAUAAGAUCACUUAACUAUUUUUUAGCUCACCUGUCACAAAGUGACAGGGUGAGCUUUUUUGAUCGCUUUUCGUCUGGCGUCCUUCCGUAAACUUUUACUUAAAAUGACAUCUCCUCAUAAACCACUAAGCCAAUUUCAUCCAAACUUCACAGGAAUGUUUCUUUGGUGGUCACCUCUAAAUAUUGUUCAUAGAACGCUGGUUGCCAUGGCAACCAAAAGAAAAAAACUUAAAGUAUCUUCUUUUAAAGAACCCAAAGAGCUAGAGCUUAGACAAAGUAUCUUCUUUUAAAGGUAUGAAACAUCUUCUAGUGAGUGUCUACCAAGUUUGUUCAAAUAAAAGCCCUGGGG